GUGUUUGGGUGUCAAACCCAUACGCGUAAUGAAAGUGAACGGAGGUGAGAACCCUUAAGGGUGCAUCAUCGACCGAUCCUGAAGUCUUCGGAUGGAUUUGAGUAAGAGCAUAGCUGUUGGGACCCGAAAGAUGGUGAACUAUGCGUGAAUAGGGUGAAGCCAGAGGAAACUCUGGUGGAGGCUCGCAGCGGUUCUGACGUGCAAAUCGAUCGUCAAAUUUGCGCAUAGGGGCGAAAGACUAAUCGAACCAUCUAGUAGCUGGUUCCUGCCGAAGUUUCCCUCAGGAUAGCAGAGACUCGCAUCAGUUUUAUGUGGUAAAGCGAAUGAUUAGAGGCAUGGGGGUUGAAACAACCUUCACCUAUUCUCAAACUUUAAAUAUGUAAGAAGCCCUUGUUACUUGAUUGAACGAGGGCAUGCGAAUGAGAGUCUUUAGUGGGCCAUUUUUGGUAAGCAGAACUGGCGAUGCGGGAUGAACCGAUCGCGAGGUUAAGGUGCCGGAAUACACGCUCAUCAGACACCACAAAAGGUGUUAGUUCAUCUG
rnacentral:rRNA from 1 species